rnacentral:rRNA from 1 species
UGGGGAAUAUUGGACAAUGGGCGAAAGCCUGAUCCAGCCAUGCCGCGUGUGUGAAGAAGGUCUUCGGAUUGUAAAGCACUUUAAGUUGGGAGGAAGGGCAGUAAGCGAAUACCUUGCUGUUUUGACGUUACCGACAGAAUAAGCACCGGCUAACUCUGUGCCAGCAGCCGCGGUAAUACAGAGGGUGCAAGCGUUAAUCGGAAUUACUGGGCGUAAAGCGCGCGUAGGUGGUUCGUUAAGUUGAAUGUGGAAGCCCCGGGCUCAACCUGGGAACUGCAUCCAAAACUGGCGAGCUAGAGUAGGGCAGAGGGUGGUGGAAUUUCCUGUGUAGCGGUGAAAUGCGUAGAUAUAGGAAGGAACACCAGUGGCGAAGGCGACCACCUGGGCUCAUACUGACACUGAGGUGCGAAAGCGUGGGGAGCAAACAGG